GGCCUCCUGCUCAGUGGUUUGAGCAUUGGCCUGCUAAACCCAGGGUUGUGAGUUCAAUCCUUGAGGGGGCCA
rnacentral:tRNA from 1 species